rnacentral:tRNA from 1 species
CCUUCGAUAGCUCAGUUGGUAGAGCGGAGGACUGUAGGUUGCAUAUGCUGACAUCCUUAGGUCACUGGUUCAACUCCGGUUCGAAGGA